rnacentral:lncRNA from 1 species
CCUUAACCUCUUCUGAUGGAUACACUUCUAAUGUUCCUGGAAAUCCCACUGAGGGUAAUUCAUCUGUCCCAAAUGUGGAUGGACAUGGAUCUGUAAUCCCUGGCUUGAGCAGGCAACAUUAUGAUCAAUUGAUGACUCUGCUGCAACAGUCCAAGUUGGGGGACUCCACUGCUCAGACCUCUCCUCCCAUUUGUGCUGCCAAUUUUUCUGGUACUAUGCUAACUGAGAGUCCUAUUUGUAAUUCCAAAGUUUGUCUGCUUACUCAUAUUGCUUCUAUCUCCUGGAUAAUAGAUUCAGGGGCUUCUGAUCAUAUGACAUCUAAUAAAAGCUUACUCUUUAACAUCACAACUUUACCUGUACCUUACCUUGUAACCCUUCCUAAUGGAUACGAAGUGAAAGUGACUUCUACAGGCUCUUUUGCAUUAACUCCCUCCAUCACCCUUCAUUUUACCUGUAUCUUAUCUUGUAACCCUUCCUAAUGGAUACAAAGUGAAAGUGACUUCCACAUGCUCUUUUGCAUUAACUUCAUCCAUCACUCUUCAUAAUGUACUGUUUGUUCCCUCUUUCAAACACAAUUUGAUUCUGUCACAAACUAGUAAAACAGUUGCACUGUAUUGUCUUGUUUACUGCAACUUCCUGUUUCCUUCAC